rnacentral:rRNA from 1 species
UACAGAGGUCUCAAGCGUUGUUCGGAUUCAUUGGGCGUAAAGGGUGCGUAGGCGGCGCGGUAAGUCGGGUGUGAAAUCUUGGAGCUUAACUCCGAAACUGCAUUCGAUACUGCCGUGCUUGAGGACUGGAGAGGAGACUGGAAUUUACGGUGUAGCGGUGAAAUGCGUAGAUAUCGUAAGGAAGACCAGUGGCGAAGGCGGGUCUCUGGACAGUUACUGACGCUGAGGCGCGAAGGCCAGGGGAGCAAACGGG